CCCUUAGAUGUUCUGGGCCGCACGCGCGCUACACUGACGAAUGCAACGAGCUUAUAACCUUGGCCGAAAGGUCUGGGUAGUCUCCAAAUUUCGUCGUGAUGGGGAUAGAUUAUUGCAAUUAUUAAUCUUCAACGAGGAAUGCCUAGUAAGCGCAAGUCAUCAGCUUGCGUUGAUUACGUCCCUGCCCUUUGUACACACCGCCCGUCGCACCUACCGAUUGAAUGGUCCGGUGAAAUCUUCGGAUCUGAGAGAUGUCUGAUUAAUUUCGGACGCCUUUUGGAAAAGUUGCUUAAACCUUACCAUUUAGAGGAAGGUGAAGUCGUANCA
rnacentral:rRNA from 1 species